rnacentral:rRNA from 1 species
UAGGGAAUCUUCCGCAAUGGACGAAAGUCUGACGGAGCAACGCCGCGUGAGUGAAGAAGGAUUUCGGUUCGUAAAACUCUGUUGUUAGGGAAGUAAAAAUGUAUAGUAACUAUAUACAAAAGAGACGGUACCUAACCAGAAAGCCACGGCUAACUACGUGCCAGCAGCCGCGGUAAUACGUAGGUGGCAAGCGUUGUCCGGAAUUAUUGGGCGUAAAGCGCGCGCAGGUGGUUUAGAAAGUCUGAUGUGAAAGCCCACGGCUCAACCGUGGAGGGUCAUUGGAAACUAAUAAACUUGAGUGCAGGAGAGAAAAGUGGAAUUCCUAGUGUAGCGGUGAAAUGCGUAGAGAUUAGGAGGAACACCGGUGGCGAAAGCGGCUUUUUGGCCUGCAACUGACACUGAGGCGCGAAAGCGUGGGGAGCAAACAGG